GGCGAACGCUGGCGGCAGGCUUAACACAUGCAAGUCGAACGCCUGUAGCAAUACAGGAGUGGCAGACGGGUGAGUAACACGUGGGAACCUUCCUCGUAGUACGGAACAACUCAGGGAAACUUGAGCUAAUACCGUAUACGUCCGAGAGGAGAAAGAUUUAUCGCUAUGAGACGGGCCCGCGUCCGAUUAGGUAGUUGGUGGGGUAACGGCCUACCAAGCCGACGAUCGGUAGCUGAUCUGAGAGGAUGAUCAGCCACACUGGGACUGAGACACGGCCCAGACUCCUACGGGAGGCAGCAGUGGGGAAUCUUGGACAAUGGGCGCAAGCCUGAUCCAGCCAUGCCGCGUGAGUGAAGAAGGCCUUAGGGUUGUAAAGCUCUUUUGCCAGGGACGAUAAUGACGGUACCUGGAGAAUAAGCCCCGGCAAACUUCGUGCCAGCCGCCGCAGUAAAAC
rnacentral:rRNA from 1 species